GCUGGGUGGAGUGGUGCACACCUGUAAUCCCAGUGGCUUGGAAGGCUGAGGCGGGAGGAUCGCGAGUUCAAAGCCAGCCUCAGCAACAGUGAUGCACUAAGCAACUCAGUGAGACCCUGUCUCUA
rnacentral:sRNA from 1 species